rnacentral:rRNA from 1 species
GAUGAAUGCUGGCGGCGUGCCUAAUACAUGCAAGUCGAGCGGUAAGGCCCUUCGGGGUACACGAGCGGCGGACGGGCUGAGUAACGCGUGGGAACAUGCCCCAAAGUGAGGGAUAACGCACCGAAAGGUGUGCUAAUACCGCAUAUGGUCUUCGGAUUAAAGGAUUUAUCCGCUUUGGGAGUGGCCCGCGUACGAUUAGAUUGUUGGUGAGGUAACGGCUCACCAAGUCGACGAUCGUUAACUGGUCUGAGAGGAUGAUCAGUCAGACUGGAACUGAGACACGGUCCAGACUCCUACGGGAGGCAGCAGUAAGGAAUCUUCCACAAUGGGCGAAAGCCUGAUGGAGCAACGCCGCGUGCAGGAUGAAGGCCCUCGGGUCGUAAACUGCUUUUAUGAGUGAAGAAUAUGACGGUAACUCAUGAAUAAGCACCGGCUAACUACGUGCCAGCAGCCGCGGUAAU